rnacentral:rRNA from 1 species
GAUGAACGCUGGCGGCGUGCCUAAUACAUGCAAGUCGAGCGAACGGACGAGAAGCUUGCUUCUCUGAUGUUAGCGGCGGACGGGUGAGUAACACGUGGAUAACCUACCUAUAAGACUGGGAUAACUUCGGGAAACCGGAGCUAAUACCGGAUAAUAUUUUGAACCGCAUGGUUCAAAAGUGAAAGACGGUCUUGCUGUCACUUAUAGAUGGAUCCGCGCUGCAUUAGCUAGUUGGUAAGGUAACGGCUUACCAAGGCAACGAUGCAUAGCCGACCUGAGAGGGUGAUCGGCCACACUGGAACUGAGACACGGUCCAGACUCCUACGGGAGGCAGCAGUAGGGAAUCUGCCGCAAUGGGCGAGAGCCUGACGGAGCAACGCCGCGUGAGUGAUGAAGGUCUUCGGAUCGUAAAACUCUGUUAUUAGGGAAGAACAUAUGUGUAAGUAACUGUGCACAUCUUGACGGUACCUAAUCAGAAAGCCACGGCUAACUACGUG